GGGUAAAGGGGCAGGGACGGGUGGCCCCAGGAGGAGGGACCUGGUAGAGCCGCUCUUCUCCCUGCCCGCAG
ensembl:miRNA